AUCCAGCUGACGAGUCCCAAAAGAGACGAAACGCACGUUCUGAAU
rnacentral:hammerhead_ribozyme from 1 species